rnacentral:rRNA from 1 species
UACAGAGGUCUCAAGCGUUUGUUCGGAUUCAUUGGGCGUAAAGGGUGUGUAGGUGGCGCGCUAAGUCGGGUGUGAAAUUUCGGAGCUUAACUCCGAAACUGCAUUCGAUACUGCGGUGCUUGAGGACUGGAGAGGAGACUGGAAUUCAUGGUGUAGCAGUGAAAUGCGUAGAGAUCAUGAGGAAGACCAGUGGCGAAGGCGGGUCUCUGGACAGUUCCUGACGCUGAGGCGCGAAGGCCAGGGGAGCAAACGGG